AGCGAACGCUGGCGGCAGGCCUAACACAUGCAAGUCGAACGAACCCUUCGGGGUUAGUGGCGGACGGGUGAGUAACACGUGGGAACGUGCCUUUAGGUUCGGAAUAACUCAGGGAAACUUGUGCUAAUACCGAAUGUGCCCUUCGGGGGAAGGAUUUAUCGCCAUUGGAGCGGCCCGCGUCUGAUUAGCUAGUUGGUGAGGUAAAGGCGCACCAAGGCGACGAUCAGUAGCUGGUCGGAGAGGAUGAUCAGCCACAUUGGGACUGAGACACGGCCCAAACUCCUACGGGAGGCAGCAGUGGGGAAUCUUGCGCAAUGGGCGAAAGCCUGACGCAGCCAUGCCGCGUGAAUGAUGAAGGUCUUAGGAUUGUAAAAUUCUUUCACCGGGGACGAUAAUGACGGUACCCGGAGAAGAAGCCCCGGCUAACUUCGUGCCAGCAGCCGCAGUAACAC
rnacentral:rRNA from 1 species